rnacentral:rRNA from 1 species
GAUGAACGCUGGCGGCGUGCCUAAUACAUGCAAGUCGAGCGAACGGACGAGAAGCUUGCUUCUCUGAUGUUAGCGGCGGACGGGUGAGUAACACGUGGAUAACCUACCUAUAAGACUGGGAUAACUUCGGGAAACCGGAGCUAAUACCGGAUAAUAUUUUGAACCGCAUGGUUCAAAAGUGAAAGACGGUCUUGCUGUCACUUAUAGAUGGAUCCGCGCUGCAUUAGCUAGUUGGUAAGGUAACGGCUUACCAAGGCAACGAUGCAUAGCCGACCUGAGAGGGUGAUCGGCCACACUGGAACUGAGACACGGUCCAGACUCCUACGGGAGGCAGCAGUAGGGAAUCUUCCGCAAUGGGCGAAAGCCUGACGGAGCAACGCCGCGUGAGUGAUGAAGGGCUUCGGAUCGUAAAACUCUGUUAUUAGGGAAGAACAUAUGUGUAAGUAACUGUGCACAUCUGGACGGUACCUAAUCAGAAAGCCACGGCUAACUACGU